GACGAACGCUGGCGGCGUGCUUAACACAUGCAAGUCGAACGAUGACGCCCGAGCUUGCUCGGUCUGAUUAGUGGCGAACGGGUGAGUAACACGUGAGCAACCUGCCCUUCACUCUGGGAUAACCUCGGGAAAUCGGGGCUAAUACCGGAUAUGAGCUCCUGUCGCAUGGCGGGUGUUGGAAAGUUUUUCGGUGUAGGAUGGGCUCGCGGCCUAUCAGUUUGUUGGUGAGGUAGGGGCUCACCAAGGCGAUGACGGGUAGCCGGCCUGAGAGGGCGACCGGCCACACUGGGACUGAGACACGGCCCAGACUCCUACGGGAGGCAGCAGUGGGGAAUAUUGCACAAUGGGCGAAAGCCUGAUGCAGCGACGCCGCGUGAGGGAUGACGGCCUUCGGGUUGUAAACCUCUUUAAGCAGGGAAGAAGCGAAAGUGACGGUACCUGCAGAAGAAGCGCCGGCUAACUACGUG
rnacentral:rRNA from 1 species